rnacentral:rRNA from 1 species
AUACGGAGGGUGCAAGCGUUAAUCGGAAUUACUGGGCGUAAAGCGUACGUAGGCGGUUAUUUAAGUCAGAUGUGAAAGCCCCGGGCUUAACUUGGGAACUGCAUUUGAAACUGGGUAACUAGAGUUUAGUAGAGGGGAGUGGAAUUUCAGGUGUAGCGGUGAAAUGCGUAGAGAUCUGAAGGAACACCAGUGGCGAAGGCGACUCCCUGGACUAAAACUGACGCUGAGGUACGAAAGCGUGGGUAGCAAACAGGAUUAGAAACCCUGGUAGUCC